rnacentral:rRNA from 1 species
ACGGGUGAGUAACACGUGGGUAACCUGCCUGUAAGACUGGGAUAACUCCGGGAAACCGGGGCUAAUACCGGAUGCUUGUUUGAACCGCAUGGUUCAAACAUAAAAGGUGGCUUCGGCUACCACUUACAGAUGGACCCGCGGCGCAUUAGCUAGUUGGUGAGGUAAUGGCUCACCAAGGCGACGAUGCGUAGCCGACCUGAGAGGGUGAUCGGCCACACUGGGACUGAGACACGGCCCAGACUCCUACGGGAGGCAGCAGUAGGGAAUCUUCCGCAAUGGACGAAAGUCUGACGGAGCAACGCCGCGUGAGUGAUGAAGGUUUUCGGAUCGUAAAGCUCUGUUGUUAGGGAAGAACAAGUACCGUUCGAAUAGGGCGGUACCUUGACGGUACCUAACCAGAAAGCCACGGCUAACUACGUGCCAGCAGCCGCGGUAAUACGGAGGUGGCAAGCGUUGUCCGGAAUUAUUGGGCGUAAAGGGCUCGCAGGCGGUUUCUUAAGUCUGAUGUGAAAGCCCCCGGCUCAACCGGGGAGGGUCAUUGGAAACUGGGGGAACUUGAGUGCAGAAGAGGAGAGUGGAAUUCCACGUGUACGGUGAAAUGCGUAGAGAUGUGGGAGGAACACCAGUGGCGAAGCGACUCUCUGGGUCUGUAACUGACGCUGAGAGCGAGAAGCGGUGGGGGAGCGGACAGGAUGA